rnacentral:rRNA from 1 species
UACGUAGGUGACAAGCGUUGUCCGGAUUUACUGGGCGUAAAGAGCGCGCAGGCGGUCGUUUCAAGUCGAGUGUGAAAGCCCCCGGCUCAACUGGGGAGGGUCACUCGAUACUGAUCGACUCGAAGGCAGGAGAGGGAAGUGGAAUUCCCGGUGUAGUGGUGAAAUGCGUAGAUAUCGGGAGGAACACCAGUGGCGAAGGCGACUUCCUGGCCUGUUCUUGACGCUGAGGCGCGAAAGCUAGGGGAGCAAACGGGG